rnacentral:rRNA from 1 species
UACGGGAGCGGCAGACGGGAUAGUAACACGUGGGAACGUACCCUUCAGUUCGGAACAACCCAGGGAAACUUGGGCUAAUACCGAAUACGUCCGUAAGGAGAAAGAUUUACCGCUGAAGGAUCGGCCCGCGUCUGAUUAGCUAGUUGGUGAGGUAAUGGCUCACCAAGGCGACGAUCAGUAGCUGGUCUGAGGGGAUGAUCAGCAUCACUGGGACUGAGACACGGCCCAG